AGAGCGAACGCUGGCGGCAGGCCUAACACAUGCAAGUCGAGCGCGUGUAGCAAUACACGAGCGGCAGACGGGAGAGUAACACGUGGGAACGCGCCCUUCGGUUCGGAAUAACUCAGGGAAACUUGAGCUAAUACCGGAUACGCCCUUACGGGGAAAGAUUUAUUGCCGAAGGAACGGCCCGCGUCCGAUUAGCUAGUUGGUGAGGUAACGGCUCACCAAGGCGACGAUCGGUAGCUGGUCUGAGAGGAUGACCAGCCUCACUGGGACUGAGACACGGCCCAGACUCCUACGGGAGGCAGCAGUGGGGAAUAUUGGACAAUGGGCGCAAGCCUGAUCCAGCCAUGCCGCGUGGAUGAUGAAGGCCUUAGGGUUGUAAAGUCCUUUUAACGGGGAAGAUAAUGACGGUACCCGUAGAAUAAGCCCGGCUAACUUCGUGCUAGCAGCCGC
rnacentral:rRNA from 1 species